AGCACGGGAGCAAUCCUGGUGGCGAGUGGCGAACGGGUGAGUAAUAUAUCGGAACGUGCCCAGUCGUGGGGGAUAACGCAGCGAAAGCUGUGCUAAUACCGCAUACGAUCUCUGGAUGAAAGCGGGGGACUCGCAAGGGCCUCGCGCGAUUGGAGCGGCCGAUAUCAGAUUAGCUAGUUGGUGGGGUAAAAGCCCACCAAGGCGACGAUCUGUAGCUGGUCUGAGAGGACGACCAGCCACACUGGAACUGAGACACGGUCCAGACUCCUACGGGAGGCAGCAGUGGGGAAUUUUGGACAAUGGGCGCAAGCCUGAUCCAGCAAUGCCGCGUGCAGGAUGAAGGCCUUCGGGUUGUAAACUGCUUUUGUACGGAACGAAACGGUCCUUUCUAAUAAAAGGGGCUAAUGACGGUACCGUAAGAAUAAGCACCGGCUAACUACGUGCCAGCAGCCGCGGUAAUACGUAGGGUGCGAGCGUUAAUCGGAAUUACUGGGCGUAAAGCGUGCGCAGGCGGUUAUAUAAGACAGAUGUGAAAUCCCCGGGCUCAACCUGGGCACUGCAUUUGUGACUGUAUAGCUAGAGUACGGUAGAGGGGGAUGGAAUUCCGCGUGUAGCAGUGAAAUGCGUAGAUAUGCGGAGGAACACCGAUGGCGAAGGCAAUCCCCUGGACCUGUACUGACGCUCAUGCACGAAAGCGUGGGGAGCAAACAGGAUUAGAUACCCUGGUAGUCCACGCCCUAAACGAUGUCAACUGGUUGUUGGGUCUUCACUGACUCAGUAACGAAGCUAACGCGUGAAGUUGACCGC
rnacentral:rRNA from 1 species